CGGAUCUUUUGGACUUAGCUCGGUCCUAGGGGUCCUCAAGGACCCCACAUCACCUCCAACGCUCUUAAAUUCCUCAAGGACUCAUCUUAACUCGAGCACAUACUUCAAAAUAAAUACGAUGGGCCCCACACGUGUACAAAGAAAGCCCGAAUCUUAGGGAGAAUUUUGAGGGGUGUUACAUUGCAGCACAAUCUGAACUUCCACAUUAGAAAAGUUUACUUUGGUUUUCUAUAUUUUCAAAUACUUUGUAGUAGAAAAGGAAGAACAAGUGAAAAUGAGUUCCAUGAAGUUUGAAAUUGAUAGAUUUAGUGGGCGCAACAACUUCAAUAUUUGAAAAAUCCAGAUAAUGGCAUUACUGUGGAAGAAAGGUUCAAUCCACGCUAUUGACGGAAAGUUCCCCGAUAACACAUCAGUUUCUGACAAGGCAAAGAUUGAAGGAGAUGCAUUAAGUGUAAUCCAACUAUCCCUUGCACCUGAUGUGCUUUGUGAAAUGAGUACAAGUACCAAGGAGACAGCCAAACAGUUAUGGGAUAGGCUGGAAGGGCUUUACUUGGACUGGUCGAUUACAACAAGGAUGUUAUUACAACAUCCUCUUCACACAUUUAAGAUGGAGUCAGGUGCUUUGUUGCAAGACCAUCUAGAUGCAUUCAAUAAAAUUGUGAUGGACUUACAAAUUUUUGGAAUUUAGAAGGAUGAAGAGACCCUUGCAUGUGCUUUUCUAUUUUUAUUGACUUUAAAAUAUCGUAAUAUUGAGAAUUUAAUAAUGUAUAGCAAGGCGCCUAUCACUCUUAAGCAAGUGCGGUAAACACUUAACUCUUGUGAUGUGCGGAGGCAUUUUAAAGGAGACAAAGAUGAUAAAGCUAGUGGGCUCUUUGUAAAAGGUCAUACUAGCCAACAGGGAAGGAGAAAAUCAAAGCACAGAUCAAAAUCUCGUGUGAACAAGAAGAAUGCGGAGUGUUGGGGCUGUCACAAGGAGGGACACUUUGAACGAGAUUGUCCUAUGUCAAAGUCCAAAGAAAAGGGGAGUGCAUCCAUUGUUGAGCAGGUACAUAAUUCUAAUGAUGAAUAUGUACUAACAACAUCAUGCAAUAGUGGAGUCUAUGACAACAAAUGGGUGUUAGACUCUGGUUGUAAUCUGCAUAUGACAUUUCGAAGAGAUUGGUUCAGCAACUAUGAGAAAAGUGGAGGAACUAUAGUAACGGGCAAUAAUGCAACUUGUAAAAUAGUUGGCAUUAGUUCAAUUCGGGUUCACUUCCAUGAUGGAAUCGUGAGGACUAUUACAAAAGUCUGUCAUGUUUCUAAUCUGAAGAAGAGUUUGAUAUCUUUGGGUACUCUAGAUAAUCAAGGUUACAAGUACAUGAGCAAGGGAGGUACAAUAAAUGUGGCUAAAGGUUCUUUAUUCAUGCUGAAGGCCAAGCUGGAGGAUGGCCUCUACACACUAGCAAGAAGCACCAUUGUUGGCUCUAUUAAUGCAUCUACAGUGCAGUUGUUAUCUGAUGAUGACAAGGCAAGAUUAUUGCAUAUGAGACUGUCCAUAUGAGCGCACGAGGACUGGAGAUGAUGAGUAAACGCAACCUUUUGAACAGUGAGAAGAUCAGCACACUUGACUUUUGUGAGUAUUGCGUCCUAGGGAAACAGAAGAAGGUCAGUUUCAGCACGGUAAGCACAAGACGGGAGGAGUGCUAGACUACAUCCAUUCAGAUUUAUGGGGUUCCUCUCAGCUUCCAUCGAAGGGAGGAAAGAGGUAUCUUCUCAAAUUCAUUGAUGAUUUUUCACAAAAGGUUUGGGUGCAUUUCUUGAAGGCAAAAAGUGAUGCUUUUGAAGCAUUUAAAAAAUGGAAGAUUUUGAUUGAGAAUCAAAUGGAGAGAAUAUUCAAGUAUCUUUGCAUAGAUAAUGGCUUGGAGUUUUGGCAUGAAGAGUUCAAUAAUUUUUAUAAGGUUCAUGGGAUCGUAAGACAUAAGAAGGUCAGGCAUACACCACAGCAGAAUGGAGUUGCCGAGAGAAUGAACAGAACUCUUCUUGAGAAGGCUCGUUGUAUGCUCUUACAAACUAAAAUGUCCAAAGUAUUUUGGGCUGAAGCAGUUCACACUGCUUCUCAUUUGUCAAUCGAUCUCCAAAAUCAGCGAUUGACUUUAAUACUCCAAAUGAGGUAUGGUCAGGUGAACCCUCUAACUAUUCAUACUUGCGAAUAUUUGGGUAUCCCAAUUAUUAUCACGUGAACCAAGGACUAAAAAGGCUAUAUUCGUAGGGUAUGUAGAUGGAGUAAAAGAGUACAAACUUUGGUAUUUAUCUUUAUCAAAUUUGUAGUUAGUAGAGAUGUUACCUUUGAUGAAUCCUUUAUACUUGAUCCUCAUAAAGUUUUUGUGGAGUUAUCAAGAAACAAGAACAACGAGCAGGUGGAGCUACAGGUGGAACAUACCAAGGAAAAGGAUCAAGAGACUAAAGUUAAUGAGUCAAAAGAUGCAGAUCUUGAAGAACAUGUUGUCAAUGGACCAUACACAGUUACGAAGGGAAGGGACAAAAGGCAGCUACAGAAAUCAGAACGUCUUAUAGAGCAAGCAAAUCUAAUUGCAUACACGUUUGUAGCUGCAAAAGAAGAGAUUAAAGACCUCAAGCCCUCUUCAUCUAUUGAAGCAACUUCUUUCAAAGAUGCUACAUAAUAGCGGUUAGCCAUGAUAGAAGAGAUGAAGUCUCUUCACAAAAAUAAUACAUGGGUCUUAGUUGAAAGGCCAAAGAGGAAGAAGACAAUUGGAUGCAAAUGGAUCUACAGAAAGAAAGAAGGUAUUCCAAAAGUGGAAGAUGCUAGGUUCAAGGCUAGAUUGGUUGCAAAGGGUUUCAGUCAGAAUGAGGGAAUUGACUAUAAUGAGAUCUUCUCUCCAGUCGUGAAACAUAGCUCAAUUCGCGUUCUACUAGCAUUGGUUGUACAAUUUGAUUUGGAGCUUCAACAAUUUGAUGUCAAAACUGCUUUCUUACACGGUGAUCUAGAAGAGGCAAUCUAUGUGGAACAACCUGAAGGUUUCCUAGUUGAGGGAAAAAAAGAUCAUGUAUGCCAACUGAAGAAGUCUCUGUAUGGUUUGAAGCAAUCCCCUAGACGGUGCUGACAUGCUGACCAAGAUAGUCCCGCUUUCCAAGUUUGCACACUGUAAGGACUUGACGGGAGUAUGCAUCAACUGAUGCAAACUCUGGGAGAACAAGUGCUAGGUGGAGCUAGUGUGUUAAACAAAGGUUUGAUUCUUCUUGUUUCUUACAACGGGAUUGCCCAGUAAGCUUAGAAGUUUUGGCGGGAGUUGUUCAUACGCAUGCUCAGAAAGCAAACCAUGGUGGAGAUUGAAAGAGUUGAGGUUGAAGACACAAUCAAAAGUUGCUGAAAAAAAGUUGAAAAUGGAGAAUCUUGCCAAGGUGGAGAUUUGUUAAAAUUGACAAGAUUCUAGAUAGUCUUAAUGUAGUAACUUGGUAGGUGAAAGUUAAGUGAAAGUUUGGUAAACUUGGUAGGCGAAAGUUUGGUAAACUUUGACAUCUUGACAAAAUGUGAUGUCAUGGAUAACAUCAAGAGAAGGAAUUUAUUCCUAUAAAUAGGUAGCUCUUGAUUCAUUUGAAACACACCUCAAAAACAUUUCUUUCUUGUCUUCUCAUAUUCUAAGGCAUUUACAAAAUACAUUAGAAGAGUAGAUAAUUGAUAGAACAAUUCUCUUAGUUGUAUUUGGGAUCUCUCCCCUUUCUUUGUUAAUAUAAAGACAGUUGUUUUCUGAUGGACGUAGGAUCAUUCUGAUCCGAACCACGUUAAAUAUUGUUGUUCUUCCUUAUUCUUUAUAUUUUCAUGUUUUUGCUAAUAGGAAGCAUGUGAGAAAUGGGGCCUUUUCCAACUGAUAAAUCAUGGGGUUCCUUCAAGUGUUUUGGAAGGAAUGAUUGAUGGGAUUCGUAAAUUUCAUGAACAAGAUGUCGAAGUGAAGAAAGUGUACUAUUCAUCUGAUCCAACCAGAGGAGUUAGAUAUGAGAGCAAUCUUCAACUGUCGACAGCAAAGGGAAGGACUGCAACCUGGAAGGAUACAUUACAUGUCUAUGAGUUACUUUCUGGACCUGAAGAAAUAGCACAAGUCCACAAGUUUGCAGGACAACAUUGGUUGAGUACAAAAAUCAUGUCACAAAACUAGGGGACAUUCUUCUUGGCUUACUAUCAGAAGGUCUUGGGCUAAAACCUGACCACUUGAAAGCCGCAGAAUGUGACAAACAAGUAGCAUUGGCAUGCCAUUACUACCCGGCAUGCCCACAGCCAGAGCUAACUCUUGGUACUGGUAGGCAAACAGAUCCUGUUUUCCGUACUAUUCUGCUUCAAUAUCAGAUUGGUGGGCUCCAAGUCAUGUGUGAUAACCAAUGUGCCGAUGUUAACCCGAUUGAACAUGGUUUGGUUGUUAAUAUUGGUGACUUUCUUCAGAUCGUAUCAAAUGACAAGUUUGUAAGUGCAAUUCAUAGAGUUGUAGCGAAAAAGGUAGGACCAAGGAUUUCAGCGGCAUGCUUCUUUACUGGAGACUUUACAUCUCCAAAGAUGUUUGGUCCAAUCAAAGAGUUCAUAUCUGACGAAACCCCCCCACUAUAUAAAGAAUUUCUAGUAGCUGAUUAUACCACUAAGUAUUUAUCCAAGCCUCUUGAUACUAUUGAUAUUUUCAGACUGUGAAAAGAGACCAAGCACCACGUCUCCAAGAAGCAGCAAAAACCAUCAGAAAAAACUAUCAUCAUUCAGAUGGAAACAAUGUCAGAGUUGGUGAUUUGCUAUACAAUAAUGUCUGUCUUAUUAUGCUGUUUAUUUUCAAAUAAAAAGGGAUAAAUCUCAUGAACAUACUCCCCUUAUGUAUCCUUCAUUUUGUUCCUCUAAUAAUGUAUGCACUAUCACGAUGCAUCCCCUUUUGGCAAAAUUGGACCAGUUUCGUAUCUUUCAAUUGAUCACUAUUCACUGCUGUCUUAAUUAGCCAAACAAUCUAUUUUCAGGAUACAAUUAAAAGUGAU